CCUGAACCUCGUAUUUAGUAACAACUGUAACAUAUACAUUUUAAUUAUUUUCAUUGUCAAAUUUUUUGAGCAAAAUUUAUACUUUGCCGAUUUUUUUCUAAGACUAAAUGAAUAAAUGAAUGCAAAGCCCAGUCGAAUUGCAUUCACAACCGAACGUUUCGAGACUCCAGUGUCUUCAUCUGGGGUGAUCUGUCUCAACGUGGCUUCACUACAGAGCUUCAGUAUAUAUGCCCAUGGGAUGACGUCAUCUGCCAACCGGAUGGGAUAUAUUCUUGUGGCAAAUCCGGCACCGUCUGUCCGUCAUCCCUAUUCAAAGCAUGUGAUGCCUCUGUCAAGGGUUAUGCUGUAGUUCCCUACAUUCAAGGUGUUACAGAACCAAUCAAGAGAAUCGUAAGUAAUUGUAAUAUUAAGGUUGCCUUAAAACCUUAUUUGACUUAAUUAAGGCCAUGUUUUCGCAAGCCGAAAGAUCCUGUUAAAACACAUCAUGUAUGUUGUGUAUUGUGUUCCAUCUGGUGACUGUAAGUAUCUAGGUCAACCUAAACGCCAGUUUGACACACGCCUAGAAGAACACCAAAAGGCUGUUUAAACUUAAAUAAAAAUCAGCUUCAGCAGAACAUGUGUGUGACACCAACUUGAUUGCGUGGGAAAACGCUAGAGUCAUUGCCUAGAAGCGUGGCAUUAAAUUAUGAGUAAUCAUGCUUUGAAUAUAGGGAUGACGGUGCUUAUUUGUCACAAGAAUAUAUACAUCUUGUUGGCAGAUAAGUCGCAACGUGACUUCUUAUAUAUACUCAUGAGAUAACGUCCCAUGCAUGGGUAUAUAUAAGAAGUCACGUUGCGACUUCAGAUCACCCUGAUGAAGACACUAUAUAUUAAUAGACUGGAGUGUCGAAACUAUUGGGUUGUGAAUGCAAUUCGACUAGCGAGCGAAAAAAAACCAUUACUAAAUACAGUAUAUAGUUCGCUGUUUACGUUAUUAAUAAUGUCUGACAAAUUAAAUAUUUACACUGUCCAUUGCCAUGCACGACAAAAAGCUGGUUGUACGAAUCUUGUGUAUCUUGUAAGACGGAAGAUAUAUAUAAUUACAAGUCAAAAUCAUAUUAUAACAUUGUUCAGUAUUUUCUGAAUGACAUUCAAUCUUGCACACUACACACGCAAAAACGAAGUUGUGACAAACCUGCAGCAGACUUGUAGCAAUGAGCAAUUCCAGCUAGACUAAAUUUUGAUCUAGGCAAGAAGAACAAAAUCCAUCACCACAGCUAGAAAGAGCAUGUUAAAAUUAGUAAAAUUGCAAAGUUUGGCGAAAUGUUGUAAAAUGAGGAAAAUAUAACCCUGCGAAAUUUGCAAAUUUUGUAUUAAUUUGUAUUACGCACAGGAAAAUGCACCACAUUUGGGUCAACGUCUGCGAGCAGGCUACAUUUGGGUCGAAAGUGGUGCAAAUUCCCGUAAUACAAAUUAAUACAAAAUUUCGUAGGGCUAUAUUUUCCUCAUUUUACAACAUUUCGCAACCAAACUUUGCAAUUUUACUAA